rnacentral:rRNA from 1 species
GCGCGUAGGCGGUCUGUUAAGUGUAGAGUGAAAUCUCCAGGGCUCAACCCGGAAACUGCUCUGCAUACUGACAGACUGGAGGGUCGGAGAGGUCUAUGGAAUUCCUGGUGUAGCGGUGAAAUGCGUUGAUAUCAGGAGGAACACCCAUGGCGAAGGCAGUAGACUGGCCGACAUCUGACGCUGAGGCGCGAAAGCGUGGGUAGCAAACAGGAUUAGAUACCCUGGUAGUCCACGCCCUAAACGAUGGAUACUAGGCGUAAGAGGUAUCGACCCCUCUUGUGCCGCAGUUAACGCACUAAGUAUCCCGCCUGAGGACUACGGCCGCAAGGUUGAAACUCAAAUGAAUUGACGGGGACCCGCACAAGCGGUGGAGCAUGUGGAUUAAUUCGAUACUAACCGAAGAACCUUACCCAGGUUUGACAUCGAUCGCAAUCUCUAGAAAUAGGGACCUCUCUCAAAAGGAGACGUGAAGACACUUGUUGCAUGGCUGUCGUCAGCUCGUGCCGUGAGGUGUACGGUUAAGUCCGCCAACGAGCGCAACCCUCGUCCUGUGUU